rnacentral:rRNA from 1 species
AUUGAACGCUGGCGGCGUGCCUAAUACAUGCAAGUCGAACGAGUGGCGGACGGGUGAGUAAUGCUUGGGAAUCCAGCUUAUGGGGGGGGAUAACUACGGGAAACUGUAGCUAAUAACGCGUACCAUAGGAUGAGCCCAAGUGGGAUUAGGUAGUUGGUGAGGUAAAGGCUCACCAAGCCGACGAUCUCUAGCUGGUCUGAGAGGAUGACCGGCCACACUGGGACUGAGACACGGCCCAGACUCCUACGGGAGGCAGCAGUGGGGAAUAUUGCGCAAUGGGGGAAACCUGACGCAGCCAUGCCGCGUGAAUGAAGAAGGCUUUCGGGUUGUAAAGUUCUGUCGGUAGCGAGGCGGUAACUACCGAAGAAGCACCGGCUAACUCCGUGCCAGCAGCCGCGGUAAUAC